UCCCUUUUAACAGUACUCAGUGGCCCUUUUUGCUUAUGAUCCAUCAAGCUGUCAAGAAGGGGCAGAGCAAAAACACAGCUUUUGGAUGCAGCACAUUGUAUUGUGUUGCUUCAAUCAGUGAUGUGACAAGA